GUUAAAAAUCUGAAAAAUGUCAUUGUUUUUAAUGUCGUAUAAAAAUCAACAAAAAAAUGAACUAGCAAAAUUUACCAACAUGGAGUUAUGUUCGGUGUAGUAUUAUACUUUUAUAAAAUUGUAUAUUUGAUAGGAUAAACUAGACAAAACAAUAAAAAUUUGGAUAAUAACACAAAGAAAUUAUUGUGAAACCUCAUUUUACACGGAACUUUGCUCUCUUCAACAACAACAGAACUGACGAUUGGUUUGUAAAUGAGACAGAGUUCCCGCCGGAUACAAAAUCAUUACCGGCAAAGGUUCCAGAGUUUGCAUUACCCAUGGAACAUAAGAAAUUCCCUCUCAUUAAAUACAUUGCCAAUGGAGAGGAAAUAGCUCAGACCAGAAUCCGGUGGUGUCUUCAGCCGAAUGAACUUGGUUAAAUCCAAAUUAGAAAUGGCAUGAAUUUAAGCACGCUGAACUCAAUUUUAACAGUCAGAUACGGACUUAAUCGUAGCACCAAAUGCUGCUAUGAUUACAUUUUACCCCAAAAAUUGUUGCGUGCAGUGAGCAACCGAUCUUAUUAUCCUGACGAGGAAGAAGUAAAUUUAAAUGGGAUAUUAAGUGAAAUAUAAAAAUAAAAAAAUUAUUUUUAAGCUCGUAAUGAC